rnacentral:rRNA from 1 species
GACGAACGCUGGCGGUGUGCUUAACACAUGCAAGUCGAACGGUAAGGCCCUUUCGGGGGUCCACGAGUGGCGAACGGGUGAGUAACACGUGAGUAACCUGCCCUCAUCUCUGGGAUAACAGUCGGAAACGGUUGCUAAUACUGGAUAUGAGCUUGCAAGGCAUCUUGUGGGUUGGAAAGAUUUUUUUGGUUGGGGAUGGACUCGCGGCCUAUCAGCUUGUUGGUGAGGUAGUGGCUCACCAAGGCUUCGACGGGUAGCCGGCCUGAGAGGGCGACCGGCCACAUUGGGACUGAGAUACGGCCCAAACUCCUACGGGAGGCAGCAGGGGGGAAUAUUGCACAAUGGACGGAAGUCUGAUGCAGCAACGCCGCGUGCGGGAUGACGGCCUUCGGGUUGUAAACCGCUUUCAAUUGUGACGAAGCUUUUUGUGACGGUAGCAGUAGAAGAAGCACCGGCUAACUACGUG